rnacentral:rRNA from 1 species
CGGCGAUGUCCGAAUGGGGAAACCCAGUGCAAUUCGUUGCACUAUCGUUAACUGAAUACAUAGGUUAACGAGGCGAACCGGGGGAACUGAAACAUCUAAGUACCCCGAGGAAAAGAAAUCAACCGAGAUUCCCCCAGUAGCGGCGAGCGAACGGGGAGCAGCCCAGAGUCUGAAUCAGCUUGUGUGUUAGUGGAACGGUCUGGAAAGUCCGACGGUACAGGGUGAUAGUCCCGUACACCAAAAUGCACAGGUUGUGAACUCGAAGAGUAGGGCGGGACACGUGGUAUCCUGUCUGAAUAUGGGGGGACCAUCCUCCAAGGCUAAAUACUCCUGACUGACCGAUAGUGAACCAGUACCGUGAGGGAAAGGCGAAAAGAACCCCGGCGAGGGGAGUGAAAAAGAACCUGAAACCGUGUACGUACAAGCAGUGGGAGCACCUUCGGGUGUGACUGCGUACCUUUUGUAUAAUGGGUCAGCGACUUAUAUUCUGUAGCAAGGUUAACCGUAUAGGGGAGCCGCAGGGAAACCGAGUCUUAACUGGGCGUUAAGUUGCAGGGUAUAGACCCGAAACCCGGUGAUCUAGCCAUGGGCAGGUUGAAGGUUGGGUAACACUAACUGGAGGACCGAACCGACUAAUGUUGAAAAAUUAGCGGAUGACUUGUGGCUGGGGGUGAAAGGCCAAUCAAACCGGGAGAUAGCUGGUUCUCCCCGAAAGCUAUUUAGGUAGCGCCUCGUGAAUUCAUCUUCGGGGGUAGAGCACUGUUUCGGCUAGGGGGUCAUCCCGACUUACCAACCCGAUGCAAACUACGAAUACCGAAGAAUGUUAUCACGGGAGACACACGGCGGGUGCUAACGUCCGUCGUGAAGAGGGAAACAACCCAGACCGCCAGCUAAGGUCCCAAAGUCAUGGUUAAGUGGGAAACGAUGUGGGAAGGCACAGACAGCCAGGAUGUUGGCUUAGAAGCAGCCAUCAUUUAAAGAAAGCGUAAUAGCUCACUGGUCGAGUCGGCCUGCGCGGAAGAUGUAACGGGGCUAAACCAUGCACCGAAGCUGCGGCAGCGACACUAUGUGUUGUUGGGUAGGGGAGCGUUCUGUAAGCCUGCGAAGGUGACCUGUGAGGGUUGCUGGAGGUAUCAGAAGUGCGAAUGCUGACAUAAGUAACGAUAAAGCGGGUGAAAAGCCCGCUCGCCGGAAGACCAAGGGUUCCUGUCCAACGUUAAUCGGGGCAGGGUGAGUCGACCCCUAAGGCGAGGCCGAAAGGCGUAGUCGAUGGGAAACAGGUUAAUAUUCCUGUACUUGGUGUUACUGCGAAGGGGGGACGGAGAAGGCUAUGUUAGCCGGGCGACGGUUGUCCCGGUUUAAGCAUGUAGGCUGGUUAUCCAGGCAAAUCCGGAUAAUCAAGGCUGAGGUGUGAUGACGAGGCACUACGGUGCUGAAGUAACAAAUGCCCUGCUUCCAGGAAAAGCCUCUAAGCAUCAGGUAACAUCAAAUCGUACCCCAAACCGACACAGGUGGUCAGGUAGAGAAUACCAAGGCGCUUGAGAGAACUCGGGUGAAGGAACUAGGCAAAAUGGUGCCGUAACUUCGGGAGAAGGCACGCUGGUGUGUAGGUGAAGUCCCUGCGGAUGGAGCUGAGACCAGUCGAAGAUACCAGCUGGCUGCAACUGUUUAUUAAAAACACAGCACUGUGCAAACACGAAAGUGGACGUAUACGGUGUGACGCCUGCCCGGUGCCGGAAGGUUAAUUGAUGGGGUUAUCCGUAAGGAGAAGCUCUUGAUCGAAGCCCCGGUAAACGGCGGCCGUAACUAUAACGGUCCUAAGGUAGCGAAAUUCCUUGUCGGGUAAGUUCCGACCUGCACGAAUGGCGUAAUGAUGGCCAGGCUGUCUCCACCCGAGACUCAGUGAAAUUGAACUCGCUGUGAAGAUGCAGUGUACCCGCGGCAAGACGGAAAGACCCCGUGAACCUUUACUAUAGCUUGACACUGAACAUUGAGCCUUGAUGUGUAGGAUAGGUGGGAGGCUUUGAAGCGUGGACGCCAGUCUGCGUGGAGCCAACCUUGAAAUACCACCCUUUAAUGUUUGAUGUUCUAACGUUGGCCCCUGACCGGGGUUGCGGACAGUGUCUGGUGGGUAGUUUGACUGGGGCGGUCUCCUCCCAAAGCGUAACGGAGGAGCACGAAGGUUAGCUAAUCCUGGUCGGACAUCAGGAGGUUAGUGCAAUGGCAUAAGCUAGCUUGACUGCGAGCGUGACGGCGCGAGCAGGUGCGAAAGCAGGUCAUAGUGAUCCGGUGGUUCUGAAUGGAAGGGCCAUCGCUCAACGGAUAAAAGGUACUCCGGGGAUAACAGGCUGAUACCGCCCAAGAGUUCAUAUCGACGGCGGUGUUUGGCACCUCGAUGUCGGCUCAUCACAUCCUGGGGCUGAAGUAGGUCCCAAGGGUAUGGCUGUUCGCCAUUUAAAGUGGUACGCGAGCUGGGUUUAGAACGUCGUGAGACAGUUCGGUCCCUAUCUGCCGUGGGCGCUGGAGAAUUGAGGGGGGCUGCUCCUAGUACGAGAGGACCGGAGUGGACGCAUCACUGGUGUUCGGGUUGUCAUGCCAAUGGCACUGCCCGGUAGCUAAAUGCGGAAGAGAUAAGUGCUGAAAGCAUCUAAGCACGAAACUUGCCCCGAGAUGAGUUCUCCCUGAGACUUUAAGUCUCCUGAAGGAACGUUAAAGACGAUGACGUUGAUAGGCCGGGUGUGUAAGCGCAGCGAUGCGUUGAGCUAACCGGUACUAAUGAACCGUGAGGCUUAACCUU